rnacentral:rRNA from 1 species
GAUGAACGCUGGCGGCGUGCCUAAUACAUGCAAGUCGAGCGAACAGAUGAGGAGCUUUUGCCUCUUUCGUUAGCGGCGGACGGGUGGGUAACUCGCGGAUAACCUACCUAUAAGUCUGGGAUAACUACGGGAACCCGGAUCUAACACCGGCUAAUAUAUUGAACCGCAUGGUUCAAUAGUGAAAGACGGUUUUUCUUUCUCUUAUAGAUGGAUCCGCGCGGCAUUAGCUUGUUGGUAAGGUAACGGCUCACCAAGGCAACGAAGCGUAGCGGACCUGAGAGGGUAGUAAGCCACACUAGAACUGAAACACGGCCCAGACUACAACGGGACGCAGCAGAGGGGAAAGUUACGCAAUGGGAGAAGGCCUAGCGGGGCAACGCCGAGUGAGGGACGAAAGUCUUGGGAUCGGAAAUCUCUGCUGUUAGGGAAGAAGAAAUGUGUAAGUAACUAUGCGCGUCUUGACGGUACCCAAUCAGAAAGCCACGGCUAACUACGUG